rnacentral:rRNA from 1 species
UACGUGGGGUGCGAGCGUUAAUCGGAAUUACUGGGCGUAAAGGGUGCGCAGGCGGAUAUGUAAGUUAGAUGUGAAAUCCCCGGGCUUAACCUGGGAAUGGCAUUUAAGACUGCAUGUCUAGAGUUUGUCAGAGGGGGGUAGAAUUCCAAGUGUAGCAGUGAAAUGCGUAGAGAUUUGGAGGAAUACCGGUGGCGAAGGCGACCCCCUGGGAUAGAACUGACGCUCAGGCACGAAAGCGUGGGUAGCAAACAGGAUUAGAUACCCUGGUAGUCCACGCCCUAAACGAUGUCUACUUGCUGUUGGGGGUAAGACCUUAGUAGCGAAGCUAACGUGAGAAGUAGACCGCCUGGGGAGUACGGUCGCAAGAUUAAAACUCAAAGGAAUUGACGGGGACCCGCACAAGCGGUGGAUGAUGUGGAUUAAUUCGAUGCAACGCGAAAAACCUUACCUGCUCUUGACAUGUUAGGAAGACCUAAGAGAUUAGGUUGUGCCGCAAGGAACCUAAACACAGGUGCUGCAUGGCUGUCGUCAGCUCGUGUCGUGAGAUGUUGUCUUAAGUGACGCAACGAGCGCAACCCUUACUACUAGUUGCCCCAAUUAAGUUUGGCACUCUAGUGGGACUGCUGGUGUUUAACCAGAGGAAGGUGGGGAUGGCGUCAAGUCCUCAUGGCCCUUAUGAGCAGGGCUUCACACGUCAUACAAUGGUAGGUACAGACGGUCGCCAACCCGCGAGGGGGAGCUAAUCCGAGAAAGCCUAUCGUAGUCCGGAUUGUAGUCUGCAACUCGACUACAUGAAGUCGGAAUCGCUAGUAAUCGCAGAUCAGCAUGCUGCGGUGAAUACGUUCCCGGGUCU